rnacentral:misc_RNA from 1 species
UUUCCGUAGGUGAACCUGCGGAAGGAUCAUUAUCGAGUUUAUAACUCCCAAACCCUAUGUGAACUUACCACUUGUUGCUUCGGCGCGCGCUUCGGCGCCGCCGAGGACACUUAAACUCUUUGUUUUUAUAAGCAUUUCUGAGUGGCCGAAAGGCAAAAUACAAAUGAAUCAAAACUUUCAACAACGGAUCUCUUGGUUCUG